GAUGAACGCUAGCGACAGGCCUAACACAUGCAAGUCGAGGGGCAGCAUUAUUGAAGCUUGCUUUAAUAGAUGGCGACCGGCGCACGGGUGCGUAACGCGUAUGCAACCUACCCAUUACAAGAGGAUAGCCCAGAGAAAUUUGGAUUAAUACUCUAUAGUAUUUACUCUAAGCAUUUAGAGUUUUUUAAAGGAUUCGUUCUGGUAAUGGAUGGGCAUGCGUAUGAUUAGCUAGUUGGUAGGGUAACGGCCUACCAAGGCAAUGAUCAUUAGGGGUUCUGAGAGGAUAGUCCCCCACACUGGUACUGAGACACGGACCAGACUCCUACGGGAGGCAGCAGUGAGGAAUAUUGGUCAAUGGACGCAAGUCUGAACCAGCCAAGUCGCGUGCAGGAUGACUGCCCUAUGGGUUGUAAACUGCUUUUAUAUAGGAAUAAUGUUAGUUACGUGUAACUAUUUGGAUGUACUAUAUGAAUAAGCACCGGCUAACUCCGUGCCAGCAGCCGCGGUAAUACGGAGGGUGCAAGCGUUAUCCGGAUUUAUUGGGUUUAAAGGGUGCGUAGGCGGGUUCAUAAGUCAGUGGUGAAAGUCUGUCGCUUAACGAUAGAAUUGCCAUUGAAACUGUGGAUCUUGAAUACAGUAGAGGUAGGCGGAAUAUAUUGUGUAGCGGUGAAAUGCAUAGAUACGAUAUAGAACACCGAUUGCGAAGGCAGCUUACUAUGCUGAGAUUGACGCUGAUGCACGAAAGCGUGGGGAGCGAACAGG
rnacentral:rRNA from 1 species